UCGCAGCGGCAAAAAUUUCUUAAUUAUAGCCCGUUUACCGAACAGAUGGAGUGACCACGUGCGCAUAAUGUGUCUAAAAUUGCCAGUAUUAUAUGUAAUUCUUGUUACUACUCUAAAACUAACGAUAAAAGUUAACUGUUAAAAGUCAGGUUUUGUCAAAGUCAGGUCACGUCAAGAUAUUCUCGGAUCUUAAGUUAGUAUAUUGUUUAAAAUGUAUCAAGUCUCGUGCCAAGUCAGGUCAUCUUUAGGUCAUGUUCAAGUCCGAUAAUGUCAAUGUUUCAUUACGUCAAUGUUUCAUUACGUCAAGUCAGGUCAUGCCAAAGUCAUUAAGUCAAGUUGGGUAUUCUCAGAAUCGGGACGUGUCAAGCCACGUCAAAUUCAGGUAAUGUUAAGUCAGGUCAUCUCAGUCAGGCUAUGUCAAAAUUAUGUAUUAUUAAAUCAGGUCAUCUCAGAGUCAAGUAAUGAAAAAGUCAGUUAAUGCAAAGUCAGGCCAUGUCAAAAUCAAAUCACUUCAAAGGCACGUAAUGUCAGAGUCUAGUCCCGUCAAAGUCAGGUCAUGUCAAAUUCUGGCCAGGUCAAGCCAAGACAUGUGAAAUCCACGUCAUAUUGAGUUAGGACAUGCUUGUUCAAGCCAUGUCAACGCCAGAUCAUGUCAAUGGUUUAUCAUGUUUUAUUGAAGUCAGAUCAUGUUAUAUCAAGUCAGGUCUUCUCAAAAUCGGGACGUAUCAAGUCAGGCCACGUCAAAAUUAGGUGGUAUUAAGUCUAGUCAUCUCAAAGUCAAGUCAUGGUAAAGUUAGAUAAUGUAAAAUCAGGCCAUGUCGAAGUCAGGUCGAUUCACAAUUAGACCGUCAUGUCAAAUUCUGCUCAUGUCAAAUCAAGACAUGUCAAUGCCGGAUCAUGUCAAGUUUGAUAGUGUCAAGUCACGCCAGAUCUAGUUAGAUCAUCUCAAAGUUUGGUCAUGUCAAAGUCAGAUCAUGUCUAGAUAGGUAAUGUUAAGUCAGAUUAUCUCAAAGUCAGGGCAUGUCAAAAUUAGGUCUUAUUAAGUCAGAUCAUCUCAGAGUUAAGUCAUGACAAAGUCAGUUAAUGUAACAUCGAGCUAUGUCAGAAUCAGCUCGCCUCAAAAUCAGAUCACUUCAAGUCACAUCAUGUUAAGGUCAAGUCAUGUCAAAAGUCAGGUCAUUUUGAGUUCAGAUCACUUCAAGUCACAUCCUGUCAAAUUUUGCUCAUGUCAAGUCAAGACAUGUCAAGUCCACGUCAUAUUGAGUCAGGUCAUGUUAGUUCAACCCAUGUCGAUGCCAGAUCAUGUCAAGUCAGACCAGAUCUGGUUAGAUCAUCUCAAAGUUUGGUCAUGUCAAAGUCCAUGUCAAUUCAAGUCAUGUCAACGGCAAAUCAUGUCAAGUCAGACCAGAUCUGGUUAGAUCAUCUCAAAGUUUGGUCAUGUCAAAGUCCAUGUCAAUUCAAGUCAUGUCAACGCCAAAUCAUGUCAAGUCAGGUCAUCUCAAAGUCAGGCCAUGUCAAAAUUAGAUCUUAUUAAAUCAGGCCACUUUAAGUUACGUCAUGUCAUGUCCACGUCAUAUUGAGUUAGGUCAUGUUUGUUCAAUCCAUGUCAACGCCAGAUCAUCUCAAGUCAAGCCAGAUCUAGUUAGGUCAUCUCAAAAUUAAGUCUUAUUAAGACAGGUCAUCUCAGUCAAGUCAUGACAAAGCCAGUUAAUGUAAAAU